UACGUAGGGUGCGAGCGUUAAUCGGAAUUACUGGGCGUAAAGCGUGCGCAGGCGGUUCUGAAAGUCAGCUGUGAAAGCCCCGGGCUUAACCUGGGAAUGGCAUUUGGGACUGCAAGGCUGGAGUGUGGCAGAGGAGACUGGAAUUCCUGGUGUAGCAGUGAAAUGCGUAGAUAUCAGGAGGAAUACCGAUGGCGAAGGCAGGUCUCUGGGCUGACACUGACGCUCAUGCACGAAAGCGUGGGGAGCAAACAGG
rnacentral:rRNA from 1 species